AGAGUUUGAUCCUGGCUCAGAUUGAACGCUGGCGGCAUGCCUUACACAUGCAAGUCGAACGGCAGCGCGUCCUUCGGGAUGGCGGCGAGUGGCGAACGGGUGAGUAAAGCAUCGGAACGUGCCCGGUAGUGCGGGAUAGCUCGGCGAAAGCCGGAUUAAUACCGCAUGAGAUCCGUGGAUGAAAGCAGGGGACUCGCAAGGGCCUUGCGCUACUGGAGCGGCCGAUGUCAGAUUAGGUAGUUGGUGGGGUAAAGGCCCACCAAGCCUGCGAUCUGUAGCUGGUCUGAGAGGAUGAUCAGCCACAUCGGGACUGAGACACGGCCCGAACUCCUACGGGAGGCAGCAGUGGGGAAUUUUGGACAAUGGGCGCAAGCCUGAUCCAGCCAUGCCGCGUGCAGGAUGAAGGCCUUCGUUU
rnacentral:rRNA from 1 species